rnacentral:rRNA from 1 species
UACCGUAGGUAAAGAUAGGUUAAGU